AGCAGCCGCGGUAAUACGGAGGAUCCAAGCGUUAUCCGGAAUUAUUGGGUUUAAAGGGUCCGUAGGUGGAUAAUUAAGUCAGAGGUGAAAUCCUGCAGCUCAACUGUAGAAUUGCCUUUGAUACUGGUUAUCUUGAGUUAUUAUGAAGUGAUUAGAAUGUGUAGUGUAGCGGUGAAAUGCAUAGAUAUUACACAGAAUACCGAUUGCGAAGGCAGAUCACUAAUAAUCAACUGACACUGAGGGACGAAAGCGUGGGUAGCGAACAGGAUUAGAUACCCUGGUAGUCCACGCCGUAAACGAUGGUCACUAGCUGUUUGGACUUCGGUCUGAGUGGCUAAGCGAAAGUGAUAAGUGACCCACCUGGGGAGUACGUUCGCAAGAAUGAAACUCAAAGGAAUUGACGGGGGCCCGCACAAGCGGUGGAGCAUGCGGUUUAAUUCGAUGAUACGCGAGGAACCUUACCAGGGCUUAAAUGUUUGGUGACAGAUUUAGAGAUAAAUUUUUCUUCGGACACUAAACAAGGUGCUGCAUGGUUGUCGUCAGCUCGUGCCGUGAGGUGUCAGGUUAAGUCCUAUAACGAGCGCAACCCCUGUUGUUAGUUGCCAGCGAGUAAUGUCGGGAACUCUAACAAGACUGCCAGUGCAAACUGUGAGGAAGGUGGGGAUGACGUCAAAUCAUCACGGCCCUUAUGUCCUGGGCUACACACGUGCUACAAUGGUAGGUACAGAGAGCAGCCAAUGCGCGAGCAUGAGCAAAUCUAUAAAACCUAUCUCAGUUCGGAUCGGAGUCUGCAACUCGACUCCGUGAAGCUGGAAUCGCUAGUAAUCGGAUAUCAGCAAUGAUCCGGUGAAUACGUUCCCGGGCCUUGUACACACCGCCCGUCAAGCCAUGGAAGUUGGGAGUACCUGAAGUCCGUUUCCGCAAGGAUCGGCCUAGGGUAAAAUCGAUAACUAGGGCUAAGUCGUAACAAGGUAGCCG
rnacentral:rRNA from 1 species